rnacentral:rRNA from 1 species
AACGAACGCUGGCGGCAUGCCUAACACAUGCAAGUCGAACGAGACCUUCGGGUCUAGUGGCGCACGGGUGCGUAACGCGUGGGAACCUGCCCUUAGGUUCGGAAUAACUCCCCGAAAGGGGUGCUAAUACCGGAUAAUGUCUUCGGACCAAAGAUUUAUCGCCUUUGGAUGGGCCCGCGUUGGAUUAGCUAGUUGGUAGGGUAAAAGCCUACCAAGGCGACGAUCCAUAGCUGGUCUGAGAGGAUGAUCAGCCACACUGGGACUGAGACACGGCCCAGACUCCUACGGGAAGCAGCAGUGGGGAAUAUUGGACAAUGGGCGAAAGCCUGAUCCAGCAAUGCCGCGUGAGUGAUGAAGGGCUUAGGGUUGUAAAGCUCUUUUACCCGGGAUGAUAAUGACAGUACCGGGAGAAUAAGCUCCGGCUAACUCCGUG